CACGCCGUAAACGAUGAGUGCUAGGUGUUGGGGGGUACCACCCUCAGUGCCGAAGCUAACGCAUUAAGCACUCCGCCUGGGGAGUACGGUCGCAAGACUGAAACUCAAAGGAAUUGACGGGGGCCCGCACAAGCAGUGGAGCAUGUGGUUUAAUUCGAAGCAACGCGAAGAACCUUACCAAGGCUUGACAUCCCGCUGACCGCUCUAGAGAUAGAGUUUCCCUUCGGGGCAGCGGUGACAGGUGGUGCAUGGUUGUCGUCAGCUCGUGUCGUGAGAUGUUGGGUUAAGUCCCGCAACGAGCGCAACCCCUAUGUUGUGUUGCUACCAUUUAGUUGAGCACUUACAACAGACUGCCGGUGACAAACCGGAGGAAGGCGGGGAUGACGUCAAAUCAUCAUGCCCCUUAUGUCUUGGGCUACACACGUGCUACAAUGGGCGGUACAAAGAGACGCGAGACCGCGAGGUGGAGCCAAUCUCAUAAAGCCGUUCGUAGUUCGGAUUGCAGGCUGCAACUCGCCUGCAUGAAGCCGGAAUUGCUAGUAAUCGCGGAUCAGCAUGCCGCGGUGAAUUCGUUCCCGGGCCUUGUACUCACCGCCAGUCGGACAGUUCGC
rnacentral:rRNA from 1 species